rnacentral:rRNA from 1 species
AUUGAACGCUGGCGGCAUGCUUUACACAUGCAAGUCGAACGGUAACAGGGUGCUUGCACCGCUGACGAGUGGCGAACGGGUGAGUAAUGCGUCGGAACGUGCCGAGUAGUGGGGGAUAACGCAUCGAAAGGUGUGCUAAUACCGCAUACGUACUGAGGUAGAAAGUGGGGGACCUUCGGGCCUCACGCUAUUCGAGCGGCCGACGUCUGAUUAGCUAGUUGGUGAGGUAAAGGCUCACCAAGGCGACGAUCAGUAGCGGGUCUGAGAGGAUGAUCGGCCACACUGGGACUGAGACACGGCCCAGACUCCUACGGGAGGCAGCAGUGGGGAAUUUUGGACAAUGGGCGCAAGCCUGAUCCAGCCAUGCCGCGUGUCUGAAGAAGGCCUUCGGGUUGUAAAGGACUUUUGUCCGGGAGCAAAUACCCAGUGCUAAUAACGCUGGGGGCUGAGAGUACCGGAAGAAUAAGCACCGGCUAACUACGUGCCAGCCGCCGCGGUAAGAC